rnacentral:rRNA from 1 species
UACGUAGGGUGCGAGCGUUAAUCGGAAUUACUGGGCGUAAAGGGUGCGCAGGCGGUUCUGCAAGUCAGGCGUGAAAGCCCCGGGCUUAACCUGGGAAUGGCGCUUGAAACUACAGGACUGGAGUAUGGCAGAGGGAGGUGGAAUUCCACGUGUAGCGGUGAAAUGCGUAGAGAUCGGCAGGAACACCCAGGGGGAAACCAGCCGACUGGGCAUCUGCUGACGCUGAGGUGCGAGAGCGUGGGGAGCGAACCGG